rnacentral:lncRNA from 1 species
UUUUUUUUAAUUUUUUAUUUAUUAAUUAUUUUGGUACCAAAUUUCUUUAUUUGAAGGAAUGGUACAAAUCAAAGAACUUAAGUGGAUGUUUUGGUACAACUUAUAGAAAAGGUAAAGGAAACCCUAACGUGCACGCACUGCCUUGGUGACCAAGGAAGGCACCCCACGGCUAUGGGGAAAUUAGCCUGAGACUUAGCUUUCAUUAUCACUGUCUCCCAGGGUGUGCUUGUCGAAGAGAUAUUCUGCCGAGCCAGAUUCGGGCGCUCCCAUCUUGCGCAAGUUGGUCACGUGGUCACUCAAUUCUUUGAUGGCUUUCACCUGCUCAUUCAGGUAAUGUGUCUCAAUGAAGUCACACAAAUGGGGGUCAUUUUUGUCAGUGGCCAGUUUGUACAGUUCCAGUAGUGACUGAUUCACAUUUUUUUCCAAAUAUAAUGCACACUCCAUCGCAUUCAGCCCGCUCUCCCAGUCAUCACAGUCUGGUUUCUUGAUAUCCUGAAGGAAGAUUCGGCCACCUCGUUGGUUCUGCAGCUUCAUCAGUUUCUCAGCAUGUUCCCUCUCCUCAUGAGAUUGGUAAAGAAAGUAUUUGGCAAAGUUCUUCAAAGCCACAUCAUCGCGGUCAAAGUAUAAGACAUGGACAGGGCACUAAUAUACACAUGAUGAUACUUAAUUCUCUCAGAAAACCUUUGGCAAAGACACUUUCUACAUCUUGAAGGCAAGGAAUCUGAAUCUUGAAGAGAUUAAAUGAAUUGUCCAAAGUCACGAACCACAUUCUACUUGUGUAGGAGCUGCGACAGUAACCAACUCAUCCUGCCCUACUCACAGUAUAGCAUCUUUAGGCAUUGACUACAAUCAGCCAAGUCACCGGCUGAGGGGAAGAACAAGAACCAACCUUGAACUAUGAUCUAAGACAAGUACUGUACCUAAGGUCCUAAAACAUAUUGGUGAUAUGGAAGGUAGACAAAAUGGCCAAAUAGAAGCCUUCACCCAUUGUUCUCCCUGCAGAAACACUAAAUUGAACAACUAUCCACACAUAAAUCACCUUCAUAUGAAGCAAAAAUCAGAUGGCAUCUCUGGACCUGCACAGGAUCCGGGGGAACUUACUUACCUAAGGAGAGGAUACAAGCCUGGUUGGCUUCACAACCUCUCAUCAUAAGAGUCCUGGGGCCUUCAGCCUUGAGCAAAUCCACAUUAAACAAUGAUGAGUUCAAAUGGAAACAUACAGCCUUUCAACACUGGCUCCAAGAGAUGGCAUCUAGAAGAAACAGACUGAUUCUGCAGAGUUCUGAAGGGAGCAGGUGACUUAGCAAUUCUGUCUUCAGUUUCUCUGUGAACAUCAUCAAUGUUUUCCUGUGCUCCAGUUGUCAAACUUCAUCAGCGAAAUGUUGGGGUCAUUUAAAGCUGCUGCUUUGCAUUCACUGAAACGACUAACAACCACAAGGAAACAUGAUUUCUCCGACAGCAAUGAAUAAAACAAUUGCCUGACUAAAGAGGAGAUAUCCUCUUUAGAUAAAACGACUGAAGACCCAUUACCAAAAUAGGGAAAAAGAAACAAUCUCUAUGAAAGAGUUUCAAAUAAAAAUAUGUAG